UACGAGGGGAGCAAGCGUUGUUCGGAUUUACUGGGCGUAAAGGGCGCGUAGGCGGCCACGACAAGUCACUUGUGAAAUCUCCGGGCUUAACCCGGAAAGGUCAAGUGAUACUGUCGGGCUAGAGUGCAGAAGGGGCAACUGGAAUUCUCGGUGGUAGCGGUGAAAUGCGUAGAUAUCGAGAGGAACACCUGCGGCGAAGGCGGGUUGCUGGGCUGACACUGACGCUGAGGCGCGAAAGCCAGGGGAGCGAACGGG
rnacentral:rRNA from 1 species